AGCUCUGAAACCCAUCCCCAAUAAUGCCAACUCGAGCUCCAAUCCUCCUUUAUUCCUCAUCACGUGCCCUUCCACACGAUUGUGUACGAGAAAGGUUAUGAAACCUUCUAAGAUAGUCCUAGCUGUCUCCUCUCAACGGAUCAAUCUCAUGAAAUGCAGUAACAGUAGUAUGAUUUUGUACAUAUGUGGAUAAUUCUCGUUGGUUCUGGAGGACGAUUUGUUUUUCUAAAACUCGAUUGGUCCAUAUUUUUCUUUUCGGGGGGAAGAAUCCAAGAUUUGGUGCGAAACAGGAUUGAAAAUAGGAUUUUUUAGGGGGGAUUUCAAUUUUUGAAUCUCAAAAAGCGCCAUCGAAAUCCUUAAUCUAUCCCUAAAGGAAGCCCUCAUCGAUUUCUCUAUAAAAUGGCUGAGGUUAGUUAUCGAGGGGGUUUUUUAUUUUUCUUUUUGGAUUUUUGGGGUGGGGUUAGAAAUCUUGGUUGAAGAUUAGAUGUUUAGAGACAAGAUUUUGAAAGAAACUGAAGGAAAAUUUUUCUUAAGCUGGUUCGAAAGGAUGAUUAGAAGUUGGGUUGGGGAUUUUGAAAUCAAAGAAGUUUAUUUCGUGAAAAAUUUGCUCGUCCAUUUCUUUUUAGGAAGCUAGUUGAUUAAUUAGGAAUUCCCGAGUCGACAACAUCAAUUCCCAGUGGUGACGACUUUACUGAUAGCUCAUCGUCCCGCUUGCUGCUCUGGAACAGAAAGUGAUGGCUGUUUAGGGUCGUUUCUGGAUGUGUUUUAAUCAUAUCCCUGUAUAGCCUACCAAGUCCAGAUUGUCAGGUUUUCUAUAUCGUUUCUUUCUGGACUUUUCCUUUCAUCUAAGUUUUGUCCUUGGCUUUCAAUUUUCUGUUCGCAGCUCGGAUUGACAACAUUCUAUUCGUAGGUCAUACUUGAUGUGGUUUUGAUGGUCGUUAUUAGUCUAAUGUGAGGCUCAUAAGUUGGGGUGCAAUUAAAUCUAUGUUGGUUUAAUGAAUUGCUUGUAUCAAAUCUGGGUAUCUUUUGCCUUAAUUUGCUCUUUAUUGUUGUGUAUAACACUGUUAUUAUACUAACGGGAUAUCAGAUACGUUUUCAUGUUUAGCAUUGUUUCUAGACGUUUCGCC
rnacentral:lncRNA from 1 species